rnacentral:rRNA from 1 species
AACGAACGCUGGCGGCGCGCCUAAUACAUGCAAGUCGAGCGAGAAGACGUAGCAAUACGUUUGUAAAGCGGCGAACGGGUGAGGAAUACAUGGGUAACCUACCCUCGAGUGGGGAAUAACUAGCCGAAAGGUUAGCUAAUACCGCGUACGCUCCUUGGACUUCGGUUCAGGGAGGAAAGCGAUACCGUGGGUAUCGCGCUCUUGGAUGGGCUCAUGUCCUAUCAGCUUGUUGGUGAGGUAACGGCUCACCAAGGCUUCGACGGGUAGCUGGUCUGAGAGGACGAUCAGCCACACUGGCACUGCGACACGGGCCAGACUCCUACGGGAGGCAGCAGUAAGGAAUAUUGCGCAAUGGGCGAAAGCCUGACGCAGCGACGCCGCGUGGGGGAUGAAGGUCUUCGGAUUGUAAACCCCUUUCGGGAGGGAAGAUGGAACGAGCAAUCGUUCGGACGGUACCUCCAGAAGCAGCCACGGCUAACUUCGUGCCAGCA